rnacentral:rRNA from 1 species
UCCUGGCUCAGAUUGAACGCUGGCGGCAUGCUUUACACAUGCAAGUCGAACGGCAGCGGGGGCUUCGGCCUGCCGGCGAGUGGCGAACGGGUGAGUAAUGCAUCGGAACGUGCCCAUGUCGUGGGGGAUAACGUAGCGAAAGCUACGCUAAUACCGCAUACGCCCUGAGGGGGAAAGCGGGGGAUUCUUCGGAACCUCGCGCGAUUGGAGCGGCCGAUGUCGGAUUAGCUAGUAGGUGAGGUAAAGGCUCACCUAGGCGACGAUCCGUAGCGGGUCUGAGAGGAUGAUCCGCCACACUGGGACUGAGACACGGCCCAGACUCCUACGGGAGGCAGCAGUGGGGAAUUUUGGACAAUGGGCGCAAGCCUGAUCCAGCCAUGCCGCGUGAGUGAAGAAGGCCUCGG